UACGAAGGGGGCUAGCGUUGCUCGGAAUCACUGGGCGUAAAGCGCACGUAGGCGGAUCUUUAAGUCAGGGGUGAAAUCCCAAGGCUCAACCUUGGAACUGCCUUUGAUACUGGGGAUCUCGAGUCCGGAAGAGGUUGGUGGAACUGCGAGUGUAGAGGUGAAAUUCGUAGAUAUUAGGAAGAACACCAGUGGCGAAGGCGGCUCACUGGCCCGGUACUGACGCUGAUGUGCGAAAGCGUGGGGAGCAAACAGG
rnacentral:rRNA from 1 species